AUGUCUCCCCGCCGCUGCCGCCGCCGCACCGCUCCGCCGGCCUCUCUGCCAGACGCCGACGACCUGCUCCGGGAGAUUCUCCUCCGCCUCCCUCCACGGCCUUCCUCCCUCCCCCGGGCCUCCCUCGUCUGCAAGCGUUGGCGCAGCAUCGUCUCCGACCCCCAGUUCCAACGCCGCUUCCGCGCCCACCACGGCAAGCCACCUCUCCUCGGCUUCUUCCUCAACAAUCCUUUCUCCUGCCCGUUUGUUCCGAUGCUGGAUCGACCAGAUCGCAUCCCCGGCGCUCGCUUCUCCAUGCCUGUACACGAGAGCAACCACAUCAUCGACUGCCGCCAUGGACUUGUCCUCUUCCUCAGCCCAUGGCCGCCGCGCCGCCUACUUGUGUGGGACCCCGUCGCCCGCGAGCAGCGCCGCCUCGUCUCCCCACCUGAGGUGGACAGCGAGCAGAUGCUCAUCUUCAACGGGGCUGUGCUUCGCCCUGCACGCGGCCAAGGCUGCAGUUCAAGCCAUUUCCGGGUGGCCCUGGUAGCCCGUGACAGAUCAUGUACGAGAGUCUCCGUAUGCCUUUACUCAUCGGAGACUGGGAUAUGGAGCAACAUCAAAUCACUGCAGCUGAAAUUUUUACCUCUGGAACGAGCCAGUACUUUGAUUGGGAAUUCUAUUUGCUGGUUACUUCCGGUGCAUCCUCAAAAUGUCAUACUUGAGUUUGAUCUGGAUAAGCACACCCUAGCUAUGACAGAGCUGCCAGCACCUGUAGAACCCUAUAAAAUGUUAUGGAUUGUGCCGGCCGAAGAUGGUGGGCUUGGCUUCAUCCAUCUCUCACAAUUUCACGCCAAAUUAUGGAAGAGAAAGCCUGAUUCUAAUGGUUUGGAUGUUUGGGUGCUCAUUAGAGCUAUUGAGUUUGAGGAGCUCAGACCAACUUGCAUUGGACACCCUCUCGCUUUAGUGGGGUUUGCCGAGGCGAGUAAUGCAGUCCUUGUACAGACAGAUUCUGGUGUCUUCAUGGUUUAUCUCCAGUCAACGGGGUUUAAGAAACUUUCCAAUCUGAGUGUCUUCUGUCUCCAUUAUCCAUUUGAAUAUUUCUAUCCUGCAGGUAAGAUUCAAAUCACACAUAUUUUUCCUUAUGCUGCUUGA
rnacentral:rRNA from 1 species